AACGAACGCUGGCGGCAGGCUUAACACAUGCAAGUCGAGCGCCCCGCAAGGGGAGCGGCAGACGGGUGAGUAACGCGUGGGAAUCUACCGUGCCCUAAGGAAUAGCUCCGGGAAACUGGAAUUAAUACCUUAUACGCCCUUCGGGGGAAAGAUUUAUCGGGGUAUGAUGAGCCCGCGUUGGAUUAGCUAGUUGGUGGGGUAAAGGCCUACCAAGGCGACGAUCCAUAGCUGGUCUGAGAGGAUGAUCAGCCACAUUGGGACUGAGACACGGCCCAAACUCCUACGGGAGGCAGCAGUGGGGAAUAUUGGACAAUGGGCGCAAGCCUGAUCCAGCCAUGCCGCGUGAGUGAUGAAGGCCCUAGGGUUGUAAAGCUCUUUCACCGGUGAAGAUAAUGACGGUAACCGGAGAAGAAGCCCCGGCUAACUUCGUGCCAGCCGCCGCCGUAACAC
rnacentral:rRNA from 1 species